ensembl:lncRNA
GGAGGAGCAAGCUGGAUUGAGUAGGGCACACUCAGCCACCUCCUACUCUGCCCCAGUGCACAGCUAAACUGGCAGCUGGUGGUCAUGUGUGGGGAGUCCUCACUGGUUUGGUCUCCUGGUCACAAGUGGGCAGAGUGAGCCGGACUCUAACUUAGUUUGCUCCAAGCUCUUCUUGUACAUUUCCAUUCCCAGAUCAAUAAUCUGUACUUUCAGGGGAUGAAGGAUGCACAGGUAAUGGGGGAAAAAAUAAGAACCAAGAUACAUCAUGUACAGGUACAAGCACCCAAUGAUAAAUGUAAACAUAUUGUAUACCUAAAAUGUACCAGUAAAAGAAUUAAAAAAAUUAAUCUGUACUUUCUUCAGGAAGCUCUGGUUCAUUUUAUUGGAGAAUAGAAUAGAAACUAAUUUCUAGAUACUAAUGGUGCUAGUUGUUACUAAGUUAUAUUCCCAUGUUGUCUCUCAGCUCUAAGGACAAGAAUGUAUACAUGUAUAUACUAACCUAUGUUCUACAUAUAUGUGUAAAUAUUCCUAUCAGUAGCCAUUUCUGUAUUUAUUAAAUUAAACAUGAGUUCAUGGUGUUGGCUCCAAUUACAGCCCCUUAAAAUUGGGAGCAUUCAAGCUUCAUUUUGCUAACCUGUAAAUUCCCACUCUAACAGUGCAAAAUCUGGGCAUCCAGUUGUACAACUUGUUACUUGUUUACUUUAUUUUAAAUUCCAGUGCACAUUCAUAGUCGUGUCAUGACUGUUAGCUUGUACUGCCAUGGGACACAGCUCUGUGAACUAAAAACAGGACUGAUGCAGAGUUCUUUGUGCCUUUAGUCUUACAGAUUCCACUCUUUUCUAAUGUUACUUAGGUCAUUUCCUUUCUCCCAUUCUCUUCCUUUAGGUCCUUCCAUACAUUUGAAAUAUGAUUACAUUGUCUUGUCACAGUCUGCAUUCUUUCCAGGAAUUCCCUUACCUCCUAAAUAAUUUAUUAAAAUUUUCAUACAUCAUAAUUUGUUCCUUGUGCUUUAAUGCACUGUAGAUUGUGACAAUGUGUAAUGACCAUGUUUCUGAUUACAAUAUUAUGCAGAAUAAAUUUUUCACCCUAAAAAUGCUCUGAGUUUCACUUAUUCACUUCUUUUGUUCCCAAACUCCUAGCAAUUGCUGAUCUUUUUACCAAUUCUAUAAUUUUUCAUGUUCCAGAAUGCCAUUUAUUUGGAACUGUGCAGAAUAUAGACUUUGGCAUGGUCUUAUUUCACUUGACAGUAUUCCUUUGCUUGUUGUAGUUAUUCUCAACUAAUAUCUGUUUGUAUGGAUAUAUCAUAGUUUGUUUGUUCAUUUACUGAUUAAAGGGAUAUUGGCGGCAUUUAGAUUUUAAUUGAUUAUGAAUAAAACCAGUAUUCAUGUAAAGAAAGUUUUUGUGGGCAUAAAAUUUUAACUCAUUUGUUCAAAUACCUAGCAACAUUAUUGAGAGGUCAUAUAUAAGUCUAUGCAUAGCUUUGUAAAAAAAUUUGUAGAAGCAAUUAUAAAAUAGCUGUGUUAUUUUGCAUUCUCGCUGGAAAUAAAUGAGUUUUUCUUUUGUUUUAUCUUCAUCAGAAUUUGACAUUGUCAGAUUUUUGGAUUUAGUCAUACUAAUAGGUUUAUAG